GUAAAGGCUGACAGAGAUGAGUCUUCUCC
rnacentral:piRNA from 1 species